rnacentral:misc_RNA from 1 species
GAUGAAGAACGUAGCGAAAUGCGAUACUUGGUGUGAAUUGCAGAAUCCCGUGAACCAUCGAGUCUUUGAACGCAAGUUGCGCCUCAAGCCAUUAGGUUGAGGGCACGUCUGCCUGGGCGUCACAUAUCGUUGCCUGAUGCCAGUUUCCUCGUGAUGGGUGACUGUGCAGGGCGAAUGAUGGCUUCCCGUGAGCAUUGUUGCCUCAUGGUUGGUUGAAAAUUGAGUCCUUGGUAGGGAGCGCCGUGAUAGAUGGUGGUUGAGUGACGAACGAGACCCAAUCAUGUGAGACCCCUACCGAAUUUGGCCUUCAUGACCCACAUGCGUCUUUGGAACGCUCAUGACGAGACCUCAGGUCAGGCGGGGCUACCCGCUGAGUUUAAGCAUAUCAAUAAGCGGAGAA